rnacentral:rRNA from 1 species
GGCUCAGAUUGAACGCUGGCGGCAGGCCUAACACAUGCAAGUCGAAUGGGUAACAGGAAACAGCUUGCUGUUUCGCUGACGAGUGGCGGACGGGUGAGUAAUGUCUGGGAAACUGCCUGAUGGAGGGGGAUAACUACUGGAAACGGUAGCUAAUACCGCAUAACGUCGCAAGACCAAAGAGGGGGACCUUCGGGCCUCUUGCCAUCAGAUGUGCCCAGAUGGGAUUAGCUAGUAGGUGGGGUAACGGCUCACCUAGGCGACGAUCCCUAGCUGGUCUGAGAGGAUGACCAGCCACACUGGAACUGAGACACGGUCCAGACUCCUACGGGAGGCAGCAGUGGGGAAUAUUGCACAAUGGGCGCAAGCCUGAUGCAGCCAUGCCGCGUGUAUGAAGAAGGCCUUCGGGUUGUAAAGUACUUUCAGCGGGGAGGAAGGGAGUAAAGUUAAUACCUUUGCUCAUUGACGUUACCCGCAGAAGAAGCACCGGCUAACUCCGUG